rnacentral:tRNA from 1 species
UAUAUAUAAGUGUAAUUAAUAAGCACAAAAUUUUUUGAAAAUUUUAGUAAUAAUUUAUAUAUAUAUAUAUAU